UUCGGCAAUGGACGAAAGUCUGACCGAGCAACGCCGCGUGAGUGAAGAAGGUUUUCGGAUCGUAAAGCUCUGUUGUAAGUCAAGAACGUGUGUGAGAGUGGAAAGUUCACACAGUGACGGUAGCUUACCAGAAAGGGACGGCUAACUACGUGCCAGCAGCCGCGGUAAUACGUAGGGUCCCGAGCGUUGUCCGGAUUUAUUGGGCGUAAAGGGAGCGCAGGCGGUCAGGAAAGUCUGGAGUAAAAGGCUAUGGCUCAACCAUAGUGUGCUCUGGAAACUGUCUGACUUGAGUGCAGAAGGGGAGAGUGGAAUUCCAUGUGUAGCGGUGAAAUGCGUAGAUAUAUGGAGGAACACCAGUGGCGAAAGCGGCUCUCUGGUCUGUCACUGACGCUGAGGCUCGAAAGCGUGGGUAGCGAACAGGAUUAGAUACCCUGGUAGUCCACGCCGUAAACGAUGAGUGCUAGGUGUAAGGCCCUUUCCGGGGCUUAGUGCCGGAGCUAACGCAAUAAGCACUCCGCCUGGGGAGUACGACCGCAAGGUUGAAACUCAAAGGAAUUGACGGGGGCCCGCACAAGCGGUGGAGCAUGUGGUUUAAUUCGA
rnacentral:rRNA from 1 species